CGCACACGCACACAGGAACGUCGGUCAAAGAUGACGGACGGCAAACAUGCCAUUCGUGGCCCUCCCGGCUGGGUCGCUGCGUCCCCUGCGCUUUUUUGGCUGAAAAGAAGCAUCUUUUCCAUCCAAGUGUCGCAUUUCACCCUCCAAAUCUUUUUAUGUUGAAGAAAAUGCUGCUCUCACUCUCUUCCGUCGAAGCUAGUGGAGCUUCCAACGUUCCUGCUGCUGCUGCUCUGUUUUAUUCUCUUUCUCUCACCUGCCGAUGCCAGGAAGCAUCUGUUCUGAACUCUCCCCGUCACCGAACGGUUUCAAUGCUUCUCUUUACGACUCUAGUGGUUUCUGCUAAAGGAGGCGUCUCCCUCCCGAGUUCCGGAGUCGCAGAAACAGGGUUUCGGCUGGUUUUGGCGUGGUCCGGAAGAGGAGGUCGGGAUCGUACAGGUUGCGGAUGCCGGACCGUCUGCGGCUCGGAUCGGCGAUCAAGCACAACUCUUGCAGGUACAACUGUGGGUUCUUUUACUGGAGGGGCAGUCCACUUGCAAUUGAUGCAUUUCUCAGUUUGACAGCCCAAGAUGUGCGAAGAUGAUAAUUGGUCGAUUGCAAUGUUUUCUAAGAAAUGGAAUUACAUAUAUUUAUCGCGAAAUUCAGAGAAUUAACAACAAAGGUGAGAAUUAUUACUUGUCAAACUUUGUUUCCUCAAGUUCCAGAGUCAUAACAAGAAUCUAACAAGAAAAGGAAGGAAAGUUGAGGAUAUAUCAAAGAUUUGUGAGGUACUUCUCCUGACUUUUUGAUAAAAGAUUCAAAAGUAACUCAAGCUCGGUCUUAAAUAACUUUAAUAAUGUUCUGUUUUAUCUAUCAAGGCAAUCAGAUUAAGGAGCAUUUAUUUGUCUUCCCUGUUAAAUCUUUUUCCUCUGCCACUGUGUUGGAUUUGUUUUCUCCCAAUUUUCUUACUCAAAAUGUGCAUGAUUAGUGAUUAGAUUGUCAUAUUACUUCUUGAAACAUGGGUGAUUUUUCCUGCAUUAUUAAUAAGCAGAAGCUGUUCCUGUGGUUAGCUAUUCAGAUUCCCUUGCUUGAUCUACUCCAAAUUUAACUAAAACAAGAAUUGUUUAUGAGCUUAUUAUCUUCAGCAUUGUUCAAUGUAUAAAAGAGCCAAUUACUAAAACUUCUUUUGCGGUGGCCUUACCAGGUGUUAUCAAGAUCUAUAAAGCUGUUAGAUUGGCUAAUUAUGGUCACUGUCAUGGAAACUAUCUUGUAUGAGUAUGCUAGUUCUGGCUUGGAUGAUUAUUUCAGAUCUGAUUUAAGGAGAAAAUCUUUGGGGAAAUGUAAUCCAUGUAGGUCAUUAUAGAUACCGUAGUUACUCCAAGAUGUUAGGACAUCAUGUAAGAAUUGCAAACUGUUUAGCAGUUGAAACAAACAGAAAACAGUAUCUAUGUUUCGACGACCUCUACUGCUAAUUUUGUUGUUCAUGUGGUUCAUUUUGCAUUUCAAUGACUUCAAAUAUUUUCUUUUGGGGUGUUGUCCCCCGUUACUAUUAAUAUGAUAGACAAUUACUUAAAUAUACCCUGUUGGUAUUGUUGUUGAUGUUGUCAUCAUAAACUUGAAUAAGCUAAAUUUGUGCUGCUAUUUUGAAGUGCUGUUAUGCAUUUGUUUCAUAUUCACAUUAUCAUGCUUUAUGUUUCAUCUUAUGCAAUUUAUAGAAUGCGACCUUUACUGUCUUCAUCUGAUGUGCCUCAUUUAUUGUAUAUUUAGUCUUCUUAUAUCACUCCUGCCCUUUAGUUAGAUGGAGGACAAUGUCUAUUGUUGCAAUUGUUCCCACUGUUCUGACGGCAAUUGGGGUUAUGAUCUUAUAAACCUUUCCUUGUUGUGCAUCCAACCUCUACGUCAUCUCCUGCAUAACAGCAAGGGAAGCUUUUCAGGCUGAAACAGCUAUUUGCAAGAUGUGUCCAUGGCAGCUUAUGAUUUUACAACAGCUAUGCUCAUACAACAAUCAAGAACAGAUACAGGUUUCCAGUUUUGUUAUCAGUCUCUGCUUUUUGAGCAUAGUGAACAAGUUUGGCAAAAGUAUGCCUUCUUGCAGUUCUUGUACAUAUCUGGCAAUUCGUGGAGAUUAAGUGCCGGUCUUUGAAAGAGAUCGAGAGUGCUCUUAUUGCAGCAGGUUGAUAUAAGAUUACCCAAAUCAUUCUGCCAAUGAGAAAUUUGUCCUUUUGGUUUUUCAAAAGCUUGGGCACAUCGAGGAUAAUGUAGUCCUGACUCAAGUAAUUCAAACCUGAUGGCCCUCAAAACUUUAGAGAGGGAGAGAGAGAACUUGGCAUUUGUUCUACUUGAAAGUCUUAUUCUCAGUCAUAAGGUUUAUUGCAGUAAUGUGAACUGAAUGUAUAGUCUGUCCCAAAGACAUGGAUUGGACUCAAUGUUCAAGCUUCAAAGUGCAGUUUGAUUGAAACUGUGAGCUUGCAAGCUUUGUCUGCACAUCAGAAUGUAUAGCAGCUACUGCUACUUUUGUUGUCUGCUCUCCUGGUCAAUUGACCAAUUCUUAUUUGGUCAAAAGAAAAUAAUACACUUUUGUUUGUUCUAA